rnacentral:misc_RNA from 1 species
GAGCGGGACGAGCCGAGCCAGUCGGUAGCGGCGCGUCGUCCUGGGCGCGAGUCGCUAUGAUGAAUCGGUAUAGGCGGGAACCUGUGGUGAUGGAGACCACGACGACGGUGCUGGUGUCCCUUCUGCGCGUACUCGCCGUGUCGUUCGUGUUCGUGUGGCCGGUGUUGGGCGAGGAGACGACUAGUCUGACCAGCCGCAUGCGGGCGAUCAGCGAAGAUCUGGACCGGCAACUCAACGAGAUAAUGGCCUCGCAGGCGCUCAGCUAUUCGACGAUCAACACCGUCGGGCUGUCCUACAACGCCACCACCAAGUUCAAUCCGAAGGGCAUGGGCCAGCUGUACAACGUGACGAAUAUGUUCAUCGACCUGGUGCAGAGCAAGCAGGCAUAUCCGGAAGGUAUGAUCACCGUGGUCGACGGUGCACCGGUUUUGGCGGACCCUCUGAAGGAAUGGAAGAUAAUAGUGACGCAUUACGGCGGACUGGCCGGCCUCGCUAUGAUUGGACUCAUCCUGGCAGCUAUCCUUCCCUGCGCGGGUCUCUUUUUCUGCUGUUGCAGAUGCGCGGGGCAUUGCGGUGCUCGAAGCCAGCCCUUCGACAAAAAGCACGAUCACUGCAGAAAGAUUAUGCUCAGCAUCGUGCUGAUCGGGGUCGCCACUAUUAUUCUAUUCGGCGUGGUGUGUGCCUUCGUGACGAACGAGUACAUGCAGGAGGGAACCAAAGAGCUUCCGUGUAAAGCCAAGACUAGUCUAAAGGACGUUAAGCUCUACUUGACCACCACUAAGCAAGAGAUCGAUAAUUUGCUCAAAACCAACCCCGAAGAGCUUGAAGUUACGCUCAACAAUAUCCUGCAGGCCAGCGGUAAAAUUGUCACCGAACAACUUGCGGAGUACUCGCACGCCGUCUCCCUGACAAAUCUGAACGACAUAGUCGCUGGCUUGGAGUCGAUCAGAGAGGAUCUGAGAUUGAUGAAUAAAAUAACACAGGACUUGCGAAUAAACGCCAGUCAAUUAGACAUUGUUGUUCGUGGUGUCAAGAAAAAUCUUCUCCACACGCUAGCCGCGUGUACGACUGACAAGUGUCAACGGGUUCUACACGAUUACAAAGUGAAUCAAAUGUCUGUACAAGUGGACUUCGAUAAGUACAUGGAUCGUUACUUCCCAAAGCUUCUAGCAUCUCUGCCAGAUGUUACGUUCGCGUUGCACAACAUCACCGUGCUCAUGGAAAGUAAUAUAGUGUCGGAAGUGAGCCAAGGCAGGGAUUCGUUUUUGAAGAUUCAGAAGGACAUACAGCAUGCUGUAAAUCAGACGAUUCCUGUGGUCAGCGCGAGUAUCCGGCGGGCUUGCAACUUCCUGGCGGGUAUCGCCAAUAAUAUGACUGCCCUCAUCGACAGGCUAAAUGUUGACAUAGAUAAAGUUUAUAUACGACACUUAGAAGUUGCCCGGAGCAACAUAGAUCAGUAUUCGCCCUAUAGAUACUAUCUUGGUCUUGGUAUAUCCGGUAUUCUUCUGACUGUCUUGAUGUGUUUGACGUGUGGUCUUCUCUGUGGUAUUUGCGGAAAGCGUCCGGAUGGAUACGGAGAUGAUUGCUGUAAUAAGGGGUCAGGUGCACGAUUUCUUAUGAUGGCCGUCUGGAUUAUCUUUCUUUUAACGAGCGUUCUGAUGAUCAUAACCGUUGUUCAUAUGAUAACCGGCGUUAUGGCUCAACGUGGUGUCUGUGAGCCUUUAAAGAAUCCGAAAGAUAACAGGAUGUUCGAAUUGGUCGACGAGCUCGUACACAUCAAGAGAAUACUUUAUCCGAAAAAUCCUAAUGCGAAUAUUAACAUGAGUUACAUUGUCACCAAAUGCCAUCAGAACGAGACGCUUUACAACGUGCUGAAUCUGAAAAAUGUGUUCGACGUUGAGAGCUUGCGCGAUUACGGUGGCCGUUACGACAUCAAUGACACCAUCCAACAGCUGCGCCGUAAGAUCAGUCUCUCUCCCGGCGUAGUGAUCCUGAAAGACAGCGCGAGAUCCAAGUUGAAUGAUCUGGCACAAAGCGGUCUCAGUGACAUCAAGUUCUAUCAGUACGCCGAACUGCUCGCCGAGAACAUCACGAAUAUUAACUUGGAACAUCUUGCCAAACAGUUACGGGAGGUUUCCGCCAAAUUGCCGGAGGGACAGGAGGAAAUCAGGCUUAGUCUCGAGAAAAAUGCGCACGACUUGGAACAUUAUCACAGAGACUUGGUUAUGCCCAUGGCCAUGCUUAGCGAGCAAUUGAGCGCGAACGCGCUAACGCUUCAAGAAAACAUUAAGUUCAAUCAUACCUCGAUGGCAGACGCUAUUCAUGAUUUAGUGGAUGAAGUUACCAAGGCGCAGCAGUUCUUAAAUAAGGAUGGGCCGGAAUACGUUCAAUACCUCGCCACUAAAUUUGGUAACGCAUUUUUGCAUCAAGUGGACAAAUUCCUUGAGCACGUUAUCGAAUCAGCAAUCUUCAAGAUUGGAAGGUGUGCUCCCGUCUCGAAUGCUUAUAACGCAACGCUCGUAGCAGGAUGCAAUAAGAUCUUGGAUCCAUUCAACGGCUUCUGGGCGAGCGUCGGUUGGUGCUUGAUCCUAUUCAUACCAACGAUAGUGCUCUGCGUGAAGCUGAGCGCUUUGUACCAAAAGUCAGAUCCUUAUCCGGGGCCUCUUGUCGAAGCUGAAUAUUUGUAUGACGCGUACGCAGACAGGGAUAACAUACCCCUUGCCCACGUCCACGACAAGAAGCACGUCUCCCACGGUAGGCAUCAUCCCGCGGCGUACGUCGAGAGCUAUGAUGGUCCGGCGAUGGGAUACGGCGACCGGGAAAGGAUCUCCGACGCCCAUCAGAGCACGUCGCAUCAUGAUUCAAGAUAUUCCGACCUAGCGCCCAAGUGAGUGGGAACCCUGCGGGGGGCUCGGCCUCUCGCGUCUCUCGAUACGCCUCUGCACAAAUUGGGACUUCCCCAACGGUGGUCCGCCAAGGUAUCAACCAGCUGCCGGGGCUCCGC